ACUCAAAUGAAUAGACGGGGGCCCGCACAAGCGGUGGAGCAUGUGGUUUAAUUCGACGCAACGCGAAGAACCUUACCUGGGCUUGAACUGCAUCGGACCGGUCUAGAGAUAGGCCUUUCAGCAAUGACUGAUGCAGAGGUGCUGCAUGGCUGUCGUCAGCUCGUGUCGUGAGAUGUUGGGUUAAGUCCCGCAACGAGCGCAACCCUUACCCGUAGUUGCCAGCGCGUCAUGGCGGGAACUCUACGGGGACUGCCCGGGUUAACCGGGAGGAAGGUGGGGAUGAUGUCAAGUCCUCAUGGCCCUUAUGUCCAGGGCUACACACGUGCUACAAUGGGCGAUACAAACCGUUGCAAAGUCGCGAGAUGGAGCUAAUCGGAGAAAGUCGUCCUCAGUUCGGAUUGCAGUCUGCAACUCGACUGCAUGAAGGUGGAAUCGCUAGUAAUCGUGUAUCAGAAUGAUACGGUGAAUACGUUCCCGGGCCUUGUACACACCGCCCGU
rnacentral:rRNA from 1 species